CCCCCGGGGCGCCGCCGCCCACCCGGCUCGGCUCGGCCAGGCCCCGCCGCCACCCACCUGCAGCCGCACGUUGAGCAUCAUGGAGGCGACGAUGUAGAGCUACAUCUAUUUAUUGUCUUGCCCUCCAGUCCAAGAGAAGUUGUUAGCUGAUACGCCUGUGGCACAAAUUAGACGAGCUCCAUGUCUGCUCUGUUUCUAAGCAGUAUCUCAGGAGCUCCGCAAGUGUCGCAGGAGCCAAGAACAGCAAGAGCACUGUGAUGCUGCCCACACCUCGCUUCCGCGGCUCCCGGCUGCUGGCUAGGGAACAGUUGCCAGGACAUCGCUAGCAGCUGAGUGUCGAGUUUAAGGACGUUUAGCUUAAAUGAGAACAGAUAUUUCAGCUUCCAUCUGCAUGAGGGCGUAUGGAGGUGCAAAUGUUGCGGGAAAUAAACAGUGCUGCAAUAGCUUUUCA